rnacentral:rRNA from 1 species
GACGAACGCUGGCGGCGCGCCUAACACAUGCAAGUCGAGCGAUGAAAUUUUAACCGAUCUCUUCGGAGAGAAGAUAAAAUGGAUUAGCGGCGGACGGGUGAGUAACACGUGAGAAACCUGCCUUUCACAAGGGGAUAGCCUCGGGAAACCGGGAGUAAUACCCUAUGACACAUUUCCUUCGCAUGGAAGAAAUGUUAAAACUCCGGUGGUGAAAGAUGGUCUCGCGCCUGAUUAGCUAGUUGGUGGGGUAACGGCCCACCAAGGCCAUGAUCAGUAACCGGCCUGAGAGGGUGAACAGUCACAUUGGAACUGAGACACGGUCCAAACUCCUACGGGAGGCAGCAGUGGGGAAUAUUGCACAAUGGAGGAAACUCUGAUGCAGCGACGCCGCGUGAGCGAUGAAGGCUUUCGAGUCGUAAAGCUCUGUCCUAUGGGAAGAUAAUGACGGUACCAUAGGAGGAAGCCCCGGCUAACUACGUG